GCCGGUGUAGCUCAGUGGCCAGAGCGGACGUUUCAUAAGCGUUAGGUCACAGGUUCAAUUCCUGUCACCGGCACUA
rnacentral:tRNA from 1 species